CUAUUUCAAUCUCAAGCUGCUGUAAAUUUUUUUCUAGUCUCUUCUUUUUUUGAUAAUCUCUACUGCUGCUUUCAAGCACUGGAGUUCUUCUCAAUCCCUCUGUACUGACAGAUUGCUCGUCUCCACCUAAAUGUAGCUUAUUUAGGUCGUCACGGGAUAUUUGCAUCUGUUUCUCUCUUUGGAAUAACUCCUGGGUUAGCAUUCUAGGAUCGGUUGCCCUGGAACCUUUGUCUUGUUCAAAGAAGAGGACUUGAACCACGGUUCUCAAUGGC
rnacentral:misc_RNA from 1 species